AAGAGCUGGCUCCAAAGAUUUCAGAGAAAAAUUGGGACUUGGUGGCCGAAGGUUAAAGAUUUGGUGGAGUGAUGUGACAUUUCGGUAUCGAGGGCAAACUGGAAUCUCCUGUGCUCUGAACUGUUUGUGCCGUAAUGCUCGCAGUGACUGAGAGGCACACGUAUGAUACAGCUGGAGAAAGCCACAAACAAGGGCUCCUCGAUGACCGAAGGGACGGCAGAAUCCAUCAGAGGAUGGGACUUGAU